rnacentral:rRNA from 1 species
AUGGAGGACCUCACCACCGCGCCGCCACCGCGGCACCGGGCGCGGAGGCACCGGAGGAAGGCGUCGGACUCGGCAACGUACGGGGACGUGUUCGGCGGGGGCCCGCGGUUCGCGCCCCCUGUCGCAGGGGCUCCGGCGGACUACGCGGACGUGUUCGGCGGCGUCGCGGCCUCCUGCUCCAUCCCGUACCUCGACCUGCCCCCGGCGGCAGCCGGGAGCGACGGCGGCGCGGGGAGGUACGGCGAGAUCUUCACGCGGGCCGGCUUCGGGGAGUACGCGGCGCCGUACGAGGACAUGUUCGCGGAGCCGGAGGGAAUGCCGGAGGAGAUCGAGUCCUGGAGCGGGAGCUCGAGAUCAUCAAUCAGAAAAGAAUCUGCUGAAAUGGAUGCUGAGCCAUCUCUACUCUAUCAACACUAUCCAAAUGUGGUCUAUGACCAACAGUUUGAUGAGGAACAGUUUUCUCCAAUCUCCUUUCCUCCAGAUGGUGAACAACAGUUCAACAUGUCAUAUAAUAAGGCAACCAGGGGAAGGCUAGAUGAUCUAGUUGAAAUGACUACUUGCAUGGUGGAGCCUUCAAUAAGUUACGUGGUUGACUCUUGUAAUUUGUCAAAUGAUUCAGCAACUAAUCAUGUUCCAGUAAUGCACAAUGGUGCACUUGCUAAUGGUGAAGAUAAGGAGAUGAGCCCACCACCACUCCCUGCAAGCGGUGAUUCUGUAGCUGAUGAGAAGCAGCAUAUUUCUCCCUGCCUUCCCAUUUAUGAAAAUCAUUAUGAAGAUAAAAAGGAUCACAGGAGGUCUAGCAUUCAUUCAGCAUCAAGUGAGGAAAACAAUGGUGCGACUGCUAAUGAUGAAAAUAAGGAGACUAGCCCACCACAACUCCCUGUAAAUGGUGAUCCUGUAACGGAUGAGAAGCAACAACAUAUCUCAACUUGUCUUCUCAAUUCUGAAAAUCUCCAUGAAGAUGAAAAGGACCACAAGAGAUCUAGCAGCACUCAUUCAGCAUCAAGUGAGGAAGUACCUUCCCCAGACUAUCCAUUCUUAAGGAUGUCCAACACCCACAUUCAAACACCGCCCAUCAAUGUACAACCACCAUCAAUCCUACCAUCUAAUUUUCUUAAUAAGAAGGAAAGCAAAUCUAACAGAGAUUCUGAGGUCAAUCCUAACUCUGCUGCUGCUGAUGCUAUAAAGGAAGCAACAAAUGUGAAGCAAAAUAUCUCAACUUGUCUUCUCAAUUCUGAAAAUCUCUAUGAAGAUGAAAAGGACCACAAGAGAUCUAGCACUCAUUCAGCAUCAAGUGAGGAAGUGCCUUCCCCAGACUAUCCAUUCUUAAGGGUGUCCAACACCCAUAUUCAAACACCGCCCAUCAAAGAAGCAAUGGAUUUUGCUGAAGCGAGGUUAAAAGCUGCAAAAGAACUGAUGGAGAGAAAAGGGGACAGUUUUAAACUUCGGAAGAGGCCAGGUCAUCAUAGAGGCACAAAAUCGACAGAAAUCAAGGAAGAUAAGGGUCCUGAAGAGGUGAAUAUAUUUGAAGAGAAGCUGACCUCAAGAAAGUUAGCAGAAGAGGAAAACUAUGAGAAUCUAAGUUUCCUGGAUAAACACAGAGGCAGUAGUGCAGUUAAGAUAGCAGACUGUUAUCAAGACGGAAAAGGGGUUCUAUCUCCAGGGAAGCCUCAGCAGAUAAUACAAAGUGACAGUAAACUUGAUCAACUAGGCAAGUGGGCAUCAGAUGCUGAAUUCUACGAUCUGGUUAGCCAUCAUCGGAAAUCUACAACUAGCACAGCUGCAUGUGAAGGUGAUAAUGGUCCGACAACAAAUCCCUUCACUAAGCAUGGCCAUUCUGAGAAAGUAAAAGAAGGGGUUAAUGCAGGGGAUUUGGAAAGAGAUGGGAAAUUGUCGGGUUGUAAUGAAAUAACAGAGCUGGGAAAUAUACAUGUAGAUCUUAUAGCAGAUGAUACCGCUGCUCUAGGGGUUGAACAUGAGGCUCCUACAGCUCCUGAAGGUUCACUAUGGGAGGAAAGGGUGGUAUACCAAGAAACAAACGAUUCUCAUAUCAAAGAACAUGUAGGGCAAAGCAAUUCUCCAAAAGGUCAUGAUGAUGAUGGAAUAUUUGAGGCUUCAUGUAUGAAUGGCAAACCUCCAAAGCUGCAUGUUGUUCCAGAUACAUCCAGUUUGUCUUUGAAGGUUUGUAUACAGGUAGACCAUGCCAAUGGUAACCAAAAUUGUUCUGAUGCUAGUACUGAGGAAACUCCACUAGUAGGAAAAUAUGACAAAGAAAACAACAAUAAAGAGGGACUUGAGAUUCCAUGUGCUGAUGAGACACUUUGCACUUCCGUAAGGAAUCAAAUAUCAGAUGAACAUCCGGAAGUUCCUCUAAUUGAUGAAAUUGAGACGAGUCAAGCGAAAGAAGCCACAAUAGAAGAGCCUGCAGAAUAUUAUGAAGACCAAUGGUCCCCGAAGAUGUCAAAUACAGUUCACAGGGAGGCUAAAACUUAUGGGGAAGACAAGAUGUUCAGUUUUGUUGAUGAAGCAUGCCUGCAAAGUGAACAAGAAAAAAUAGCUGAACUACCUUCAGAAAUGCUCAUCCAUAAAGAAAUGGAGAGAUUUGGAAUUGAGGAGAAAGAAAGCCUGCAUGAAGAUUCCCAAGAUGAAGAUGUAUACUGGGAUGCGGGAUCUCCUGAAAAGGAAACUAGUGUUACUUCUGAUACCGAUGCUAAUGAAAAUGACGAAGCAGAGGUGCUGAAUGUAUUUGUGGCAGACAGUGACUUGACGGAAAACAAUGUUAGAACAUGUGCUACUUCUGCCAAACACUCAGAUAAACUCCCAGAAUCUCAGGAGUCAUUAUUGGAACCUCAAGAGUUGGCAAACAAUAUGGAUAUAAUUGAGGAUUUUGUAUCCCAUGGUAACCAAAAAGAAGCAAAAAAUACCUUGUUAGGGAACAGUGAGACGACACUGGUGGAAAAAACCUUAAACCAUGAUAAGGAAGGCCAGACAUCUGCGGAAACUGGUGCCACCAGAGGGCUAAAUGAUGUAUAUGCAGAAAUAAUUGCAAAGAAUAAUAGGGUGGGUAAUGUACUUCAUUCUGGAGCUGAAGUUAUCACCGAUGAUUACAAUGAUCAUACCACAUGUUCUAAAGAUAUGCAUGCUUCAUUCUCAGAAGCAUGCGCUAGCAUGCAUCACUUGCCUCAAAAUGCUGAAUCUAUUUCUGCUCUGACGUCUGAUGAAAGCAUAUCUUUCCUUGUAAAUCUUGAAGAGAACUGCAUAAAAGCAGAUAGUGAAUAUUCGACAAUAAGAGACACAGCGUUACAAGGGAAAAAGACAGGCGGCAAAAUUGAAGAAGGAGAUGGCAAAGACAAAAUGUCGAGUGUAAAUUUGAAGGAUCAGCGAUCUUUUGGAGAGGAUAGUGCAUCAAAGUUUGUUCAGAAAUCAAGAAAAGAGACCUCUGAUGCCCAGAGAAUUGAAGGGAGAGAUGAUAUAAGAAAGGCAGAAAGUGAAAUUGAAAAGGAUGUCUCCCUAAGACCAGAUAAAGAUAAAGAAAGGGAAUACAAAAUGGAAAAAGAACAAAGUAAGGAGAAACCAAUAAGAGAACUAGAAGAAGAGAAGGAGAGGGAGAGGGAGCGGGCAAAAGAUAGGCUUGCUGUUCAGAGGGCUACAAGAGAAGCUCAUGAGAGGGCAUUUGCUGAGGCUCGUACAAAGGCUGAAAGAAUAGCAUUGGAAAGGAUUACCUCUUCACGACAAAGAGCGUCUGCAGAAGCACGAGCUAAAGAGAAGGCAAGUGAUGAAGCAGUUGCAGAGAAGGCUUCUAGAGAAGCUAGAAUAAAAGUGGAACGUGCAGCAGUCGAGAGAGCAACUGCAGAAGCUCGAGAGAGGGCAAUUGAAAAGGCAAAGGCUGCUGCAGAUGCUAAGGAGCGAAUAGAAAAGGCCAGGGUCCCAUUCAAAGAUAGUUUUAAGGCUACUAAUCAGGACACACAAUUUCAGAAGACAGCUUCUAACGAGCAUGGAAGAAGCACAGAUUCUUGCAAUCAAGCAUCUGAGUUUGAAUCAGCUCUAAGACACAAAGCAAGAUCCGAGAGGCACCAACGGACAGCUGAACGAGCGGAAAAAGCUCUAGCCGAAAAGAAUAUGCGGGACAUGCUGACUCAGAGGGAGCAAACAGAAAAACACAGAUUGGCUGAAUUCCUUGAUCCUGAAGUCAAGAGAUGGUCAAAUGGAAAGGAAGGAAAUCUGCGAGCAUUGCUCUCUACGUUGCAAUAUAUACUUGGUUCAGACAGUGGCUGGCAGUCAGUUCCCCUCACAGAUCUCAUUACAGCUGCUGCCGUGAAGAAAGCAUACAGGAAGGCAACCCUUUGUGUCCAUCCUGAUAAAUUACAACAAAGGGGUGCUACAAUCAGACAAAAGUACAUCUGUGAGAAGGUUUUUGAUCUUCUUAAGGAAGCUUGGAACAAGUUCAAUUCCGGAGAGCGCUAA